rnacentral:rRNA from 1 species
GAUGAACGCUGGCGGCGUGCUUAACACAUGCAAGUCGAACGGAGUGCUCAUGACGGAGGAUUCGUCCAACGGAUUGAGUUACUUAGUGGCGGACGGGUGAGUAACGCGUGAGGAACCUGCCUCGGAGUGGGGAAUAACAGACCGAAAGGCCUGCUAAUACCGCAUGAUACAGUUGGGUCGCAUGACUCUGACUGUCAAAGAUUUAUCGCUCUGAGAUGGCCUCGCGUCUGAUUAGCUGGUUGGCGGGGUAACGGCCCACCAAGGCGACGAUCAGUAGCCGGCCUGAGAGGGUGACCGGCCACAUUGGGACUGAGACACGGCCCAA